UUUUUGCACACCAGUCCAACUGAAGUGUCACACACCACCGUUUGUCCAAGCUGUUUGAUGGGAACGUUUGGAUACCUCUGGGCUCUGCAGGCGAUGUCGGCUACCCAGCCUCUUCCACAGACAUCUCUGAUGGGUUCAAUGUCGGCACCUUGUUUGGUCACAUUUGGUUUACCAGAAUCCAGCCACCCAGUCCAUUGGCAGUCGUCCCAACACAGCGUGGUCUCAGUGGUCGUGGGUGGGGAGGUCACAGUGGUGGGGGUUGGUGUUGGGGGCUCUGUGGUGGUGGUUGUGGUGGUGGUGGUCGGGGUUGAGGUCUCUGGGGUGGUGGUGGUGGUGGUGGUGGUGGUGAUGGGGGUCACGGUGGAGGUCUCAGUGGUGGUGGGAGAAGCUGUGGAGAAAACACAACCCACAGCAGUACACGUUGAUCUCAUAGUUGAGGCAGUGAGGCAGGGGGAUGCGUCCCCCAGGCUUCUGGUCUUGGUUUUUGCACACCAGUCCAACUGAAGUGUCACACACCACCGUUUGUCCAAGCUGUUUGAUGGGAACGUUUGGAUACCUCUGGGCUCUGCAGGCGAUGUCGGCUACCCAGCCUCUUCCACAGACAUCUCUGAUGGGUUCAAUGUCGGCACCUUGUUUGGUCACAUUUGGUUUACCAGAAUCCAGCCACCCAGUCCAUUGGCAGUCGUCCCAACACAGCGUGGUCUCAGUGGUCGUGGGUGGGGAGGUCACAGUGGUGGGGGUUGGUGUUGGGGUCUCUGGGGUGGUGGUGGUGGUGGUGGUGG
rnacentral:lncRNA from 1 species